AGGCCCCCCCGCUUCUUCUGGCUACGGAGGCAGAGGCUGUUCGGGACGUGUCUGUCCAGGACAUGAAAAUGGCAUCGAAUGGCGUAGUAGCGGAGCUUCUUCUCCAGAACAUUUACAUAGGACAUCAUCCUUGUGAAGAAGCACAAGUGGGGCCACAAGACCCUUCCACAGUAAGGACAAGCAUUCUCCCUCCGCUGCCUCGGAGCAUUGACGAGCACUCGGGGCUUCCUGGUCGUGUGGUAGAGAUAAUGUCUGGCUCUCACUAAGUUCAUGGCUAGUCUUGCCGCCAGAGGGGGUGAAGUCGGGGGCUCCUGCCUUUGGCAUUCACGGACCCUUGGGUGGGCGCUUCUCUGGGCCUGGACAGAGAAGAAUCUACUCCAUUUCCUGGGCAGGGGUAGCUGAAUUAAAAUGGAAGAGGUCGCCACUGGAUGUCUUUGCAGAAAACUCUUUUGAGCUCGUUUGGGUUUGACGCCUUCUGGAACAGGUUUUCGAGAUGGAGCAGCUGGAGCAACUGGUCUGACCUUCCAGGAAAUUGGUGGCACUUCUGCCUUUGGUGACAAGGAGUCAAAGGUCCUCUUGGUGGUGCUGUCAGAUCUGGAAAGUGGAAGCUUGGCUGCUGAAACUGUUGAGAAGUCUUCUGAAAUCUCUACGUCUUGGGCCUUCUGGUCAUUGUUUUUUUGGUCAUUUUUUGGAGGACUUGUCAUCUUGGAAACUGCCUUUUUUGCGAAGUCUUGCAAAUCCUCUAAUUCCUUGGCCUUUUGGUACUCCUGGUCAUUGGCUUUUUGGUCUCCUUUUGGAGAACUAGCCAUGCUGGAAGUUGAUUCUUUGGAGGAGUCUUCUGAAUCUUCCUCCUGGGCCUCUUGGUCAUUGGUUUUUUGGUCUCCUUUUGGAGGACUAGCCAUGCUGGAAGUUGAUUCUUUGGAGGAGUCUUCUGAAUCUUUCUCCUGGGCCUCUUGGUCAUUGGUUUUUUGGUCUCCUUUUGGAGGACUAGCCAUGCUGGAAGUUGAUUCUUUGGAGGAGUCUUCUGAAUCUUCCUCCUGGGCCUCUUGGUCAUUGGUUUUUUGGUCUCCUUUUGGAGGACUAGCCAUGCUGGAAGUUGAUUCUUUGGAGGAGUCUUCUGAAUCUUCCUCCUGGGCCUCUUGGUCACUGGUUUUUUUGGUCUCCUUUUGGAGGACUAGCCAUGCUGGAAGUUGAUUCUUUAGAGGAGUUUUCUGAGUCCUCUUCUUCCUGGGUGUUUUGGUGGUCCUGCUCACUUGUGUUUGAAGGAAUAUCCAGUUUGGAAAUGAGUUCUGCCCAAGUUGUAUAGACAGUACUCUGACUAUUAAUCCACCAUACAACUUUAGUCAAGUGAAACUUCCAUUUUCUUAACUAUAAAAUGAAGGAGUUGUACUAGAAAUUCUCUAGCAUCCCUUCUGUAUUCCGUUUUAAGAGGUAUUUUAUUAUAAAAUUAAAUUUCUAUUAUAUUAAAAAUCAUAUUACUAUAAAAUUAAAAGUGCUACCUGAUGAUUUUUCCCCAAACGCUAGGGCUCUAACUUAUCUCAUUACAAAGAACUUGGUCUUUUCCCAGUUAGUAAUGGCUUUUUCCUCUCC
rnacentral:lncRNA from 1 species